rnacentral:lncRNA from 1 species
AUGUCGAGUGGUAAGAACGCUGUCAAUAUAAUAGUGGCUUCAGCUACGAAAAACCCAGGCAAAACACACAGUCAAAAAAUAUAUCAUGAUGAUGAACUGAAGUCUUGCUUCCUUCUUUUUGUAAUAUCCAAAGGUUUACAGAUUUUUUUAAAUCAGUGUGUCCUCAAAGUUGAAAGAGUUGGAAUCUCUAGCCCCACCUUACGCUUGAAAGGCCUGAAGUUUUGGAUAGUACUAUUAACUCUUGGAGUGAAUGCAAGGACAGUUUUAAUUUUGGGAUAUUAG